ACUCCUACGGGAGGCAGCAGUGAGGAAUAUUGGUCAAUGGACGCAAGUCUGAACCAGCCAUGCCGCGUGCAGGAUGACGGCCCUAUGGGUUGUAAACUGCUUUUGUAUGGGAAGAAACCCCUGAUCGUGAUCAGGGCUGACGGUACUGUACGAAUAAGCAUCGGCUAACUCCGUGCCAGCAGCCGCGGUAAUACGGAGGAUGCAAGCGUUAUCCGGAUUUAUUGGGUUUAAAGGGUGCGUAGGCGGGGUAGCAAGUCAGUGGUGAAAGUCUGCAGCUUAACUGUAGAAUUGCCGUUGAUACUGUUACUCUUGAAUUCAGUUGAGGUAGGCGGAAUGUGUAAUGUAGCGGUGAAAUGCAUAGAUAUUACACAGAACACCGAUUGCGUAGGCAGCUUGCUAAACUGAGAUUGACGCUGAGGCACGAAAGCGUGGGGAGCAAACAGGAUUAGAAACCCGGGUAGUCC
rnacentral:rRNA from 1 species